AUAACGACUCUCGGCAACGGAUAUCUCGGCUCUCGCAUCGAUGAAGAACGUAGCAAAAUGCGAUACUUGGUGUGAAUUGCAGAAUCCCGUGAACCAUCGAGUUUUUGAACGCAAGUUGCGCCCGAAGCCAUUAGGCUAAGGGCACGUCUGCCUGGGUGUCACGU
rnacentral:rRNA from 17 species